rnacentral:lncRNA from 1 species
GAAUGUAAAAGCUAUUAUAUGCAUUGAUCAGAAAAUUUAAUCCAUAAUGUAUAUGCAAAGUCACUAGUCCUUACUCCUAGGUUGGCUUGAACUCUGUCAAUUAAUGAAAACAAUUAUCCACUAAGGGACAGGUCUUGAAAUCUAUAUAUACUACAAACUUUGGAACGCAGAGAAAAAUCACAUCACCAAGUGUGGAUAAGAAACCCUAGAAGUAAUCUAUCCUGUAUAUUUUGACAAGUGUUAAAUAUUUCAAGAGAGUUCCAUUCUUAGUGCUUAUUGGAAGAAAUUUCAGAUAAAAUUGACCAUUUACUAAAACUAGGAAUUGGGGAAGUAAUGAAAAUUAAUUGCAAAUUUUAGACAAAAGCAACAACGCUAGAUAAAUAACCCAAACUGAUAUUCUUUGUUUUCCAGCUCAGAUGUUUAGACCUACUUUUUUAACUUCCUUGUUAACUGGGGGAUUCUCAGAUUGCAACUGCUGACCCUGUUUAAGAGAUUUCCUUGAAUAAUGCUUUUAGUCCAUGACUGCAAAACAUUUGCUGUAGACAAGGAGUGCCCAAAAGGUAGAUCCGCAGAUGUUGUAGAACUAAAACUCCCAUGAUGCUUUGCAUGCCUCGAAUGCCUUUAGAAUGGCAAAGCAUCAUGGAAGCUGUAGUUUUAAAACAUUUCAAUCUACCUUUUGGGCACCCCUCUUGUAGACAAAUAUGGCAUGUAUAAUUAUGAUAUACAGAAUAUGUUUGAAAUGAGUGUAACAAACCCAAAACUCUGAGGAACCUAGAGCAGAGACAAUAACCUUGGUACUAUUGCACCUCAGAUAUUCAUUAACUAUUUCCCAUGAUGCUUAAGGAGUUCUCUAGGGUUCUCGACGUAACAGACUUUGCUUAUUUCACAUUUGUGACAAUCUGCAUUGCUUUGCACAGAAAUUGUCAUUUAUUCUCCACAGCUCUGGGCUGGAUGACUAUAAUUACAAAUGUAGGUUAACAGCUUUAACAAACUAUUUGAUUUUGUCUUUGUUUCAACCCAUAAAUCACAUUUUGAUUGAUUCAAGAUGGGUUAUAAAUUGCAAAAUACUAUAAUUAAGCCAAUGUCGGAUAAACAGGUCGCCUAAGCAAUUCUUACAGGAUUUUUAUCUUAAGUGUGAAUGGUCAGGGUUUCACCUUACAAAUGUUGGGCCAAAAGAAGUGAAACUAGAAAAAUAGCUGACUUAUUCCAAUUCAGCACAGAACUGCUUAUCUAUGCUGUGCUGGGGUAUUAUAUCAGACAGUGGUAUCCUCCAUCUCUAUUAGAGCAGAGCAGACAGAGGAACAGAGAAAAAAAAUCUGUGCAAAUGAAAAAAAGUUCUCCAGCAUCUUGACGUUAUCUUUAUAUCUGAACCUCUUUAUGGUAUGGUAGUACCAGUGUGAGGCCUUGUAGUGCAUAUAUAAGCUGUGCAUUGUACACACGCCUACAUACAUACACACAUAUUUACAUUUGCCAUUUCAAAACUAUUAGUCCACAAAUAUGAAAUUAAUGUAUUUGCACUGUAAUAUUUAUUAAAAGAAAAUAAAAAUAAGUAUUUAUGACCCACUUGUGAAAAUAACAUUUUAUGCUAUUUAAUAUUUAUAUUGUCGCAAGCUAAACUAUGAUGUGAUUGUUAUUUAUUAAUGUAUUUAAUUUGUAGUGGUUAUGUUCAGAUUAUUCUUGAAUGAGACACUUAAUGACAUACUGUAUCAAUUCCUCAUCAGGUAGAUUCCCUGUUAAAUUUGCUAUACUCUGUAUGCCUUUGCUUAACAAUGUGGUACUAACUAUUAAUAUCGUAGUAACUACUAUUCCUGAUCCGCAUGGGUAUAAUGGACUCCCCAUACUGAAUGAUGCAGAAAAUAUGGUAUAUAAUAGUAACUACCUAUUCUUGGAACUUACCCAGGGUCAGCAGUUGUAAAUAAGUGAAUGAUAGUGGAUUAGAAAUUCCAAUUAUCUUUUUCUGGUACCCAUAACACUGUUAAAUAUAAGCAUUACUGCCCAUACUCUUUAACAGCUGUAGUUCCUCACUGCAGCCUAUUUUUACAGUUCUAUAUUGACAGUUUUUGUAUUCUAAAAUCCUGCAAUAAAAU